rnacentral:rRNA from 1 species
GCCAGACUCCUACGGGAGGCAGCAGUGGGGGAUAUUGCACAAUGGGGGAAACCCUGAUGCAGCGACGCCGCGUGGGUGAAGAAGUAUUUCGGUAUGUAAAGCCCUAUCAGCAGGGAAGAAAGAAGACGGUACCUGACUAAGAAGCCCCGGCUAACUACGUGCCAGCAGCCGCGGUAAUACGUAGGGGGCGAGCGUUAUCCGGAUUCACUGGGUGUAAAGGGAGCGUAGACGGCCGUGCAAGCCAGGAGUGAAAGCCCGGGGCCCAACCCCGGGACUGCUCUUGGAACUGUGCGGCUGGAGUGCGGGAGGGGCAGGCGGAAUUCCUGGUGUAGCGGUGAAAUGCGUAGAUAUCAGGAGGAACACCGGCGGCGAAGGCGGCCUGCUGGACCGCGACUGACGUUGAGGCUCGAAAGCGUGGGGAGCGAACAGGAUUAGAUACCCGAGUA